rnacentral:lncRNA from 10 species
GAGACUCUGUCUCAAAAAACAAACAGCGACAACAAAAAUUCAAAUACCUAUUGUGGCUCAUUUAUAUCUGAUAUAGUGAGUUUCACAAUACCUUACUUUUCAUUUAAUCUUCCUCUGUCAGCUAUAGAUCUUGGGAAGGAGGUUUGCAUAUGUGUAUGAAAAACUCACACCCAAAGUAUUUUUUCUCUAUUCUCACUGAACAACAACACAGACUUCUGUGACCAAAUGUGGGGGAGGUCUCUUCACACACCAAGCAACCAACCAAUUCUGCAGCAGGCGCCAGCUGGGUGUCCUCCAAGUCAAUUCAAUUCUGAUGCUAUCUGCCUGGAGAUAGCCUUGGAACCCACAGAUUAAGGGCUCAGUCCCACAAGGCCACCCCCUCUUUCCCACCAAUCCAAAGUCCAGGCCUCUGGAACUUAGGACUUCAAGUUGGGGUUCCCCUUUUUGGGGUUUAAUUUGUUAGAGUGGCUCACAACUCAGGGAAACACUUACUUAAGUUUACCAGUUUAUUACAAAGUGUAUCUUAAAGGAUAAAAUAAACAGCCAGAUGGAGACAAACAUGAUGAGGUCUGGACCGGUCCCAAGCACAGGAGCUUCUGUCCCCGUGGAGCUGAGAGGCAUCACCCUCCUGGCACACAGAUCAGUUCUUGGUCGGCAUCCAUGUGUUCAGCAGUCCUCUUGGGCCUUCUAUGGAGACUUCACUGGAUAAGCAUGGCUGACCAUUGUGCAGAAAUAGCAUUGGACAAAAAGGGUAAGGUCUAAUAUGAAUAGGCAGAGUAGGAAAAGCCCGCAAGUCCUGUCUGUUCACAUUCUUCCUGGACUCUCUGUGCAGCAGUUCAUCCUCCAGGGUAUGGGGUAGAACCCUCUUUAGAAGGAGGGUCUUAGGACCUACAAUCAAAUAAGGUAGGUCAGGGAAUUUCUUUAUGGCCAGCUCCAAGACAAAAAGGUGGGAGAAGAUUUCUGCCUUGGGAAGAAAAAUAAAGCAGGUGAAAGGAGGACAGGAGAAGGUCAGAGAGAGAAAGAUUCUGUUUUCUGGGGUCUACUGAGUCCUAAAGUGCCCCAACAUUAUAACAAAAACUAUGGGAGUAGCAAGCCAGGAACUGUUGAUUAAAAACAUAUAUAUAUAUAUAUAUAUAUAAAAUAACACAGUGUAAUAUAAUUGUUUAGUAUCCUAAGUGCAUGAAAUAACAUGACUAAUAUAUAUUGAAGUUGAGGAAUGCAAUACACAGCAUAGAUCAUUGGUCUUCUGAGACAGUACUCAUGUCCAUUUGAUAGUAUGCCAAAAGGCUGUCUCAGUGUCAUUGAUGGAUGGAACAUUCUAUGUGUUAAGUAGGUUUCUUACAUCUUUUUUUUUUUUUUUUGGAGACAGGGUCUCAUUCUGUCGCCCCAAGCUGGAGUGCAGUGGCAUGAACAUGACUCACUGCAGUCUCAAUCCCUGGGGUUCUCUCUGGCAAUCCUCCUGCCUCAGCCUCCCAAGUAGCUGGGACCACAGGCACACAGCACUAUACCCAGGUCACUUUUUUACAUGUUUCGCAGAGAUGAGGUCCUGCCAUAUUGCCCAGGCUGAUCUUGAACUCCUGGGGCUCAAGUGAUCCUCCCACCUCAGUCUCCCAAAGUGCUGGGAUUAUGGGUAUGAGCCACCACACCCGGCCUCAUCUACUUUUAAAAUACAAUUUAUAUUGUUUUGUUUUUCUUUCUUUUUGAGAUGGAGUCCCACUGUGUUGCCAGGCUGGAGUGCAGUGAUGCGCUCUCGGCUCACUGCAACCUCUGCCUCCCGGGUUCAAGCGAUUCUCCUGCCUCAGCCUCCCGAGUAGCUGGGACUACAGGCGCGCCACCACUAUGCCCAGCUGAUUUUUGUAUUUUUAGUAGAGACAGGGUUUCACCAUGUUGGCUCAAUCUCUUGACCUCAUGAUCCGCCUGCCUUGGCCUUCCAAAGUGCUGGAAUUACAGGCGUGAGCCACUGCGCCUGGCCUAAAACACAAUUUAAAGGGCAAAAAAAAUCAUGACUAGUAUUUUUUUUUUUUUUUUUUUUUUACAAAAUAACCUGUGGUAUCUCAUAAAACCCAUUUGGGAAAAUGUUUAAGUAACUUGAAUUAAGAUUCACUUAGGUGGGGCAUGGUGGCUUAUGCCUGUAAUUCCAGCACUUUGGGAGGCCAAGGCGGGCAGAUCACCUGAAAUCAGGAGUUCCAGACCAGCCUGGCCAACGUGGCAAAAACACAUCUCUACUAAAAAUACAAGAAAAUUAGCCAGGCAUGUUGGGGUGCACCUGUAGUCCCAGCUACUUGAGAGGCUGAGGCGGGAGAAUCACUUGAGCCUGGGAGGCAGAGGUUGCAGUGAGCCGAGAUCACGCCACUGCACUCCAGCCUGAGCAACAGAGACAGACUUCGUUUAAAAGGAAAAAAAGACUCACUUGGAAUCCUGGUCAUGAGUCUCUCCAGCCUGAGGGACAAUCAGUGAAAGACAUUGCAGAAAGGAGAGCUCAGAUGCUGUCUACAUCUAAGGUAACAAAAAUAUUUUGGGACAAUAGAGGCUACAAGGAGUUGAGCAGCAAAUGCAGCUGGAAGUCUUCAUGAUCCAAAGGCUUCUCCAUGGAGGAACUCUCAGCCAAGAAGCUCAAAGAUGGACAUAGAGACACAACAGUCCCCUACACAUCCUUGAGAUGCACAGAUUAGCACUCCACGUUGUGAAAGCUGCUGGUAAGUGCUGGUAGUAGGGCAGCCUUGGAUGGAAGAAAGCCACAGAGGAAGCCAUGAUGUAGACAAAAGGACAGUUUCCAUUUUGCCCCUUCUCUCUUCUCAGCCAGUCACCUGCAGCAGCAGCAGUCCAGGUCAGAGCCUCCUGCCCCAGAGGAAAUCUUGUCAUUUCGCUCGACAAAGGUUCCAUACCCUCAGCACCCUGACUUAUCGCCAUCUUCUCUAAUAAGAUAAGUGUCUGACAAUUUCACACUCAGGUUGGCCUCUCUCCCAAAGGAUAUUGGACUCAGGACUCUAGUAAUUCCAAAGGGAUGAGUCUGUAUUAGGAAGAAUUGUAAACAAGCAUAAUGAGCCUAGUGGAGUAGAAGUGACAUAUCUGGUAGGCCAGGCGCGGUGGCUCACAUCUGUAAUCCCAGAACUUUGGGAGGCCAAGACAGGUGGAUCACUUGAGAUCAGGAGUUCGAGACCAGCCUGGCCAACAUGGUGAAACCCUGUCUGUCUCUACUAAAAAUGCAAAAAUUAGCCAGGCAUGGUGGUGCAAAGCAUGUGGUUCCAGCUACUCGAGAGGCUGAGGCAGGAGAAUCUCUUGAACCCAGGAGGCAGAGGUUGCAGUGAUCCAAGGUUGUGCCACUGCACUCCAGCCUGGGCGACAGAGUGAGACUCAGAAAAAUGACAUAUUUGGAGGUAGGAAAUCUGAACCUUAGACUUGACCACAAAACCUUCUCUCUGGGCCUCAACUCCAUCAUCAGCAAAGCCAGGGGGCUGAGGGGAUGUGCGAAGAUCUCUUCCAGUUCUAGCACUAGAAGACCCUAAGAAGGCUAUGAUGCCUUCCCGGUACUGGUAAGCCAGGGGGCCAGCCCUGCCUGUGGGACAAAUAAGGCAGAGACAGAGGCUAUGACGAGGUUACAAGCACAGAGUGAGUCAGUCUGGAGGUUAGGAAAAGCAGCCAGCCGGAAAUCAGCCCACACUGGGUAAGGAUGUGUGGGUGGUGGAGAACGCUCCCUCACACCAGAUCUUUCACCACAGCUGCCUGCAUUUCACCUUCUCUGUCAUCCUCAGAGACGAGAUGCAAUGAGAAGCAAAACAUUCAGAAGGCAAAGGUGGUGAUUAGGCCUUGUAAUCAAAAGGGACCCUACUGCUCUCGACAAGCCAUUAGCUUUCCCAGCAAUUCAGUGCCCCCCAUUUAAGUCUCUUGACUGUCUGUUAAAGAUGCUGUGACUUCUGUCCGCUGUCGAAUGACUGAUAUAGUCAAGAGACCAUGGGACAGAUUCUCGGGUAAUUCUGAUUUUAUUUCCUGAAAAGAAAAAAGUAGAAUCUUUUAAAAAAUAUAUCAACCUCAUCCAUCACACACUACAAAUUUUCCCUGUGAUUGAAGACCUGUGUUCAACAUAGCAAACCUCUUUGCCCUCACACCUGGUUUUAAAAUUAAGCUUGAAAGUAAAAGGUUUUAUUAUGUACUUGUUUUUAAUAGUCAAAAGUUCAUGACAGUGGAUGAGUGUGUUUCAUAAUUUUUGUUUGUAAUGGAAGCCACAGUUAGACAUUUAAAGCAAGUAUAGCAGGCUAACAACCUCUCCUUCCUGUGGUUAAAAUGAUAGGAAGUGAUUUAUAAACUGCCAUUAGAGUUAGCUCAGCUAAGCAAUAUUGGCUUUUGUUAGCAUGAUCUAAAACUCUUGGCAAACUAAAAUGAAAAGCGUAAUCUUCAUCUGUUGUCAAACGAUGAGAUUCAUUACCCAAAAAAGUCGUAAGACUUAAAUAAGGAUAUAGAUGUAUAAGAUCUUUUUAAAAUUUAGACUUACAUGCAUAACCAGGAGUUAUCUUAAUUCAGUAUUGGUGGUCUAUAACUCAGAUCUUUAGAAAAUAAGCUAAUCACUAGAGAGAUUAAAGAGAGAUUAACAAUAGGAAGCUGUUCUUUUACUAACCUCUAAAAACCAGAUAUGGGCUACACCUGAAUGCAAAACACUAUCUGUAAUAAUUGCAAUGAAAAUUUUAGCAAAAUCAUAAAAACCUUAUUGCCUUCUGAAGAUCAAGCCCAUUUUCCAAUAAUUGGUUAAUUCAAAUGAAAGUCUCCACCUUCUUAAUUUGGGCCCAUUGUUAAUCUCUCCACAGAAAACCGCACAAGUCCUAUCAAAGACUUUUGUGAAAAACCACUAAUUAAAGAGAAGUUUGUAUCUGACAUAAUAGAGAUUCUCAAAUAUUUGUUGAUUAAUUGUCCUGCAUUGUUACUCUCUAGUGCUUGUAUUAACCAAAGAGUAUUGUCUUGGCCCUGGAAUAGAAAAACAUAUUUGAGGCUGGAUGCAGUGGCUCUCAACUGUGAUCCCUGCAGAGCUUUGGGAGGCCAAAGUGGGAGGAUUGCUGGAGACCAGGAGUUCAAGAUUAGCCUGGGCAACAAAGCGAGAUCCUGUCUCUACAAAUGUUUUUUUAAAAAUUAGCCAGGUGUGUGUCUCAUACCUGUAGCCCUAGCUACUCAGGAGGCUGGAGUGGGAGGAUCAACUUGAGCCCAGGAGGUCAAGGCUGCAGUGAGCUCUGAUUGCGCCACUGCACCCCAGCUUGGGAUAGAGAGCAAGAACUUGUCUCAAAAAGAAGAAAGAAAGAAAGAAAGAAAGAAAGAAAGAAAGAAAGAAAGAAAGAAAGAAAGAAAGAAAGAAAGAAAGAAAGAAAGAAAGAGGAAGAAAGAAAGAAAGAAAAAGGAAGAAAGAAAGGAAGGAAGAAAAGCAUAUUUGAAUGUCUCUAGAAAUAAGCGGAUAAAAAUCUAGGUGUAUCGAGAAGACUAAUAAACUAAAAACUUUCAAAAAGUAAAAAAAAGAAAGCCUGGCUGUCAUCCACAGUAUAUUUACAUUUUGUUCAAUCCUAGCAUACACAUAAAGUAAUUUCACAUUUGCAAACUCAUACCCUUGUGAAAACACAUUUGUAAACUAUAGUAAAGUAUUUGUGCAUAGUUCUUUUUGUCUUUAGACUUAAAGAUACAGUCAAAAACUCUUGCUUUUUUAAAAUUAAUUUGUUUAGCUCUUUCGUGCCCCAAUUCUGUGUGGUUCUAAUUAUAAUUUGUAAAAGAGUUGAGUUCAUUUGUUACUGUUUGUAUUCCAUUCCCCCACAUCUGGUAAAUUUAAAUUAUUUGUUUGUUUGAAAAAAAAAUAUCUAGGUGUAUUAACAUCAUCAAAUUAAUAAAACAAUGUUAUUUAAAAUAUAGAACAUAUCAUAAGCUUUCAAAUCAUAGUGGCCAAACAGCCACCAUCUUCAAGAAUCAAUAAUAAAAGAAGUGCUAGUAACUCUUACAGAUGGAUGAAUGACAACAUCAUAGAGUAUUACAGAGCCAUUCAAAAAAAAAUGAAUAGGACUUAUGCCAGUUGACUUGGAGAAUUUCUAGGAGGUGAUAGUGAGUACAAAAGAUAAGAUGCAGAGAUAAGUUCAUAGUAUGAUCCCAUCUUUGUAAUGUAACAAAAUACCCACUUAUAAAUGUGUUUACAUAUGUGUGAAUCUCAAUGUUUUUAUACAAGUAUAUGAUGUAUGCAAGUCUGUAUGCAUAGUCAUAUAUGGUCAUAAGGCAGAUGGUUAGAUAGAAAAAAAGUACUAAAGAGUACACCAGGUGGCUAAUACUUUUCCUGGGGAACUGGAGGGUGGGGACAAUACAGGACAAAGGCAAAGGAAAAAGGAGACUGAACCAAAAAAUAUGAUUGUACUUGUGUAAAAGUAUAUGUAUGCUUUUUAGAAAAAGAAAAGUCCAGAAACAUUGGCUCAUACCUGUAAUCCCAGCACUUUGGGAGGCCAAGACAGGCAGAUCACUUGAAGUCAGGAGCUCGAGACCAGCCUGGCCAACAUAGCAAAACCCCGUCUCUACUAAAAACACAAAAAUUAGCCGGGCAUAGUGGCACAUGCCUGUAACCCCAGCUACUCAAGAGGCUGAGAUAUGAGAAUUGCUUGAGCCCGGGAGGCGGAGGUUGCAGUGAGCUGAGAUUGCGCCACUGCACUCCAGCCUGAAUGACAGAGUUAGACUCUGUUUCCAAAAAAAUGAAAAUGAAAAAAGAGAGAUGUCUACAAACUUAUAGGGAUGGCUUUGGAAUAUUAAAAAGUUACAGAGUAAUGUGUCUAGUCUGAUUCUCUUUUUUUUUUAAGAUAGCUUUACUUUUUCUUUUUACAAAAUUAACACUUUGUCAUUACAAUAUAUAUCAGAAAAAUAGAAAAGCAGAAGGAAGAAAGUCAAGAUUAUCUAUAAUCCUAAGAACCACUGCAACCACCACCGAGUUCUCGAAGCCUGUCCUUCUGGGUUCUACUGUUGAGGAAAACGCGAUCACACAGGUACUAUGCUACAAUCCUCCUUUAUCGGGUAAAAAUAAAUGAUUACUGUCACCUGGCCAGGUGCUCCUUUCUCACACAGCUGGCCUCCCUGUCUCUGGGAGGCACAGGAGACCCCGCCCAUCCUCUGUUAGCUCUUAGCCUGAGUGUUCCCCUUGGCCUCUGGCUCCUCUCCAUAGUGCGCCCCGGGCCAAGACCUGCUGUCCGGAAACAGUCACCUUCUGGGUCUCCCUCCCCACCUCCAAUCCCAUGAGAGGGAGAGAAAUUCUAGGUCACUUCCAUGACCCUCUGGAAGCAAGAACAACUCAGGCAAAUUAGAUCCUGGCCCACUCUCUGUUCCCUAGUCUACUUCAAAGUGGCUUUCCCCCAGGUUCACAAGGGAGCAACUCUUGAGGUGAUCUCCUCCCAGGGCUACAAACAUUAAAAUGGACCAAAAGCCCCAAGCUCUCAGCAUUCCCCUCAGCUCCAGUAGCACCCCUCCUUUCUCUGGAUUCUGUUCUGGAAAUAUGUGAUCAAGACAAUGUGUCUUCUUCCUUACCUUUUCUGUUGUUCUGUCCUAUGUGCUAAUUUGGGGAAUCUUCUCUAGGCAAACCUGGUUUCAAAUCUAUUGUUUGGCAGCAAAAACCUAUUUUGAACGUCAGGG